UCCUACGGGAGGCAGCAGUGGGGAAUUUUUCCCAAUGGGCGAAAGCCUGAGGGAGCGACGCCGCGUGGGGGAUGGAAUCUUUCGAGAUGUAAACUCCUGUUGUAAGGGAGCAAGGGUAGUUGGAGUGGAAAGUCAACUACUCGGAUAGUACCUUACGAGGAAGCCCCGGCUAACUACGUGCCAGCAGCCGCGGUAAU
rnacentral:rRNA from 1 species